UUACAGACUCCUGUCCACAACAUUUUUUCUGCCACAGAGAAGCAGCUCAUGGCAGACCAGGCCAAGAGAACUGUUGCUGAAACCCCUGAGCCGUGGGAAGCUGGGUAUUUCAACAAAGGCCACUGAAACUGAACAAGUGUUGCACGUGACAACAUUUUGUCCCUUUCUUUUCCAUACUCCGCGAAAUGGAGACAAACAAGGACGGAGAAACAAAAAUCACAAUCCAAAACGAGAAGAGGGAUCAGAUAGGGCUUUGCUUUACUUAUCCCCACAUACUGCAGCUGUGGCACUCAGGCAUUUUAUACCGCACUUAUUACGCUGACACCCACCUACCAAAGCAAUACUCUCAACGUGAAGCACCCCAAGCUCGCAGCUGGAAAGGCACCAGCCACCCCCCCCGCCUCACCGACGGCCUCACUCCCGCCCGGCCUGCCGCCUCGGACCCCGGCAGCGCAGAGGCCCAACAAGCCGCUCGGGGAGGAGCCUUCAGGCGCCCUCUCAGGCCUGGCGCGCAGGUGCUGUGAGGAAGCGUCAUGUCGCACCUCCGGCGGCCCGGGACCCUCCCCCGCUGCGCGGCAGCCAGCCAGCGCGGCCGCCCCGCCCGCCCCGCCACUGCUGCGCUCCCGCCCAACGGGAGGAGCCGGGAGGGCGCAGCCGGGCAGCCUGAGGGGAUGGGAAAAGCCCCACUGCCCCGUGUGGCCUCGCCGGCGCCUCUGAGGGAAAUGGCGGCUGCGUGGUUCGGAGAGCUCACCAGCAGCCCAAGGCAGGCCUCAGUGCGGGCCGUGAGCGGCCGAAGGGAGCACAGAUCCGCGCGGGCCGAGCUAGGUGCGGCCCAGCGCCACACGAGAGCGGGAGGACGGCGGCAGCGCCUCCACCAGUGCUUUUUAGAAGUUUAGUGGUCUCAAGCACGGUGCUCCUCCUGCCUGCAGUUCUGCACUCUUAGAUGUAAUCUCUGCUCAAUUUUGUUCCUACUGAAUCCAGCCAACAUCUGGACUGGGGAGGCUGUGCAUACCUGACUGCUUCCAUGCUUUGUGUGGAACGCUGGAUUGUAUCAUGGGAGUCUACUAAGCUGGAAAUAUUUCAGUGAGUAUUUCUUAUAUUAC
rnacentral:lncRNA from 1 species